GGUACAACUUUCGACAACGAAUAUCUCGGCCUUCGUAUGGACGGUAGCGUGACCAACACACGUAGCGAAAUGCGAUACGUGGUGUGAAUUGCAGAAUCACACGAACCAUGGAGUCUUUGAACGUAAGUUGCGCCCGAGGCUAUUUGGUUGAGGGCACACMUG
rnacentral:rRNA from 1 species